rnacentral:rRNA from 1 species
GGGGCAAGCGUUAUCCGGAAUUAUUGGGUGUAAAGGGUGCGUAGACGGAAGAACAAGUUGGUUGUGAAAUCCCUCGGCUCAACUGAGGAACUGCAACCAAAACUAUUAUUCUUGAGUGCAGGAGAGGAAAGUGGAAUUCCUAGUGUAGCGGUGAAAUGCGUAGAUAUUAGGAAGAACACCGGUGGCGAAGGCGACUUUCUGGACUGUAACUGACGUUGAGGCACGAAAGUGUGGGGAGCAAAC